GUGUGUAAUUUAAAAAAAAUAUCAAGUUGUGACCCUGAAAAUAGAUGCCACUCGCACACC
rnacentral:tRNA from 2 species